rnacentral:rRNA from 1 species
GAGGAAUAUUGGUCAAUGGACGGAAGUCUGAACCAGCCAAGUAGCGUGCAGGAUGACGGCCCUAUGGGUUGUAAACUGCUUUUGUAUGGAGAUAAAGUUAGGGACGUGUCCCUAUUUGCAGGUACCAUACGAAUAAGGACCGGCUAAUUCCGUGCCAGCAGCCGCGGUAAUACGGAAGGUCCAGGCGUUAUCCGGAUUUAUUGGGUUUAAAGGGAGCGUAGGCUGGAGAUUAAGUGUGUUGUGAAAUGUAGACGCUCAACGUCUGAAUUGCAGCGCAUACUGGUUUCCUUGAGUACGCACAACGUUGGCGGAAUUCGUCGUGUAGCGGUGAAAUGCUUAGAUAUGACGAAGAACUCCGAUUGCGAGGGCAGCUGACGGGAGCGCAACUGACGCUUAAGCUCGAAGGUGCGGGUAUCAAACAGGAUUAGAUACCCUGGUAGUCCGCACAGUAAACGAUGGAUGCCCGCUGUUGGUACCUGGUAUCAGCGGCUAAGCGAAAGCAUUAAGCAUCCCACCUGGGGAGUACGCCGGCAACGGUG